rnacentral:rRNA from 1 species
UACGGAGGAUGCAAGCGUUAUCCGGAAUGAUUGGGCGUAAAGCGUCCGCAGGUGGCUGUUCAAGUCUGCUGUCAAAGACCGGGGCUUAACUUCGGAAAGGCAGUGGAAACUGAACAGCUAGAGUAUGGUAGGGGCAAAGGGAAUUCCUGGUGUAGCGGUGAAAUGCGUAGAGAUCAGGAAGAACAUCGGUGGCGAAGGCGCUCUGCUGGGCCAUAACUGACACUCAGGGACGAAAGCUUGGGGAGCGAAUGGG